rnacentral:rRNA from 1 species
GCCUACUGUCAUACCACCCUGAACCCACCUUAUCUCAUCUGAUCUCAGAAGAUAAGCAGGGUCAGGCCAGGUUAAUACUUAAAUGGGUAACCAUUUCCUUCCCAUGGGAAACAAAGGCGACUCAGGCC